GUCAGACUUCUGUAGGAAAACUCCUUGUUCUCCAAAGCAGGGAAUCUGGAGCUUUGCACAGCACCCUGAAUGGUCCUCAGUGGGUUGUCACCUGUCCUGCCUGCAGUGCCUUCCCCCGCCCACUACACCACUGCACAGCACCCCAAACGGUCCUCAGCUGGCCGUCACCUGCCCUUCCUGCAGUCCCUUCCCCUACCUACUAUACCACUGCACAGCACCCCGAAUGGUCCUCAGCUGGCCAUCACCUGCCCCACCUGCAGUCCCUUCCCCACUACGCCACCCAGAAACCUAGGCAUGGACCUUUGCCUACCGUGUGAAGGAGUCUCAUUAAGUCCUUUCCUCUCUCCUUAAAGCUGGACCUAAGUCCCCUUCUUUGCCACAUAUCUUCCGGGGUGCAGACACUGGCAGAAUGACACUUUCUAGGUCUCCUCAGUCCCUGGGUUCCCUAUGAACUGGAUUCUGUCCAACAUGCUGAGCUUUAGAGGCUAAAGCUGGGCAUCAACAACCUUGCUGGCAUGUUUUCUAGAUCACACACUCAUGGUUUCCUGGGCUGUUCCUAACUAGGGCUUAAUGCCGUGUAUCCACGCCCUCCUCAGACCCUCCUAGCUGUCAGGCACACUGCUCCCUCACUUCCUUAGAGUCAGGAUAGUCCCUUCUCUCUGGAACACAGAAAGCAUCUUCCAUUCCAGCACUGGGCAGCUCCAGCUCCCAGUCCCUGCUUCCCCACUCUCCCCAUUUGCUCAGAGUACCACCUGUGUUUGUUCCGUACUUAAGCCAGGGGCUGCCGCCCAGAGCUGCCCUCUUACUGAUAAGUGAUGGCCUGAGAUCCUGGGAAGGCAUGCCCAGCUGCCAGCAGCAUAUGGAUGCUGAGCCAGGUACACAGCUGCUGUAGGGGCCUCUGCCUUUUCAACUAGCUUGCAUAGCAGCAGGCCCUGCAGCCAUUUCCUGUUUUAAAAUGAGCCUGUUAUACUGAGGGGUCUUUAAGAUGGCAAGUCCUCUGUGUUCAUCUAAGUUGCUACAUAGUUUGUGCAAGGUUCUGCAAACAGCAGGAUUCCAUUCAGGAAGUCCUCAGCAGGGCGGGGCCUGGGUUACUGCUGUCACUCACUGUCCUGAUGGCAGAUUUAUAGGCUUUCACUGUGGGGGAAGGCUCAGCUCUGUCUCCUCUGGGGCUGGAAGGUCAGCUCUCUACUGGUUGUGAAAGCAGUGGGGGCUGUUGUCAUGUGGCCUUGCUGUCCAGGAAGCUGGUAGUGAGGUCCACCCCGAGAGGUCGGUGGGGCAGAUAUGAUAUGCUAUAACCAGGCAGUUCUUAUUGCCAGCUCUCCUGUGCCUGUCUUUAAAUCGACCAGCCAUUAAGUUGGUGAUAAAGAUGGGGAAUUAACUGGUACAGAGACCAGAUGGUGUAAAGGAAAUUGACACUACAAGGCAGAGGACAGCCCAGCUGCCCAAGCUUGCAGGGCUUCCGGACUUUUCCAUCUGCCUGUGACCAGAAAUGCAAUAGAAGACUCAGGUCGGGGCAGGGGACUUAGGCAGGGUGUCUGAGCCCUGUGCCACCGGUGUUCUGACCAUGCUAAGGAAAAGGCAAGGUGAAUCGCUUGACUUCCCCAGGGCCUGAAUCCCUCUGCUGUCGAGUUCUUGGCUUCCUUCCCCAUCUGCCUCUUCAGCGCUAUGCAAGGUGGAAGCUGGAAAGAAGGACUGGGAACCUGCCUCAGCCUCCAGUGGCAGCUAUUUUUCAGAUAACAGUGGAGCAGACUGGCCUUGUUGGGGCUUGGGUUUUCACUCCUAACUCGUCUAGUUUUUGAAGAGUGCAUCAAUUCUACCUGCUCUGCCUGCGAUCUUCAUGGCUACCUGGGAACAGAGGUCUGGUUGUUCCUGGACCCCGUUACCAGCUAAAUGCUCAUGUGGUUUUGAAUAGGUCAUUUGACCUCUCUUGUCUCCCAACUUCAGCUCUGCCUCUCAGAGCAGCCACAGCAGCCCAGCAUGGACAGAGAUGAUGUCCUCAGCCUCUACCACUGGACACUGUGCAUGCUGCAGCCUCCAAAACAGGAGAAAAUCCCAGACCAGCGUGUGGCCCCAUAGAGUACCAGGCCGGCCCUGGAAGCACCAGUAUAGGAGACAAGCAAUCUGUGUCCACUGUGAUGCACAGGCCUCAGGCACACACAGGAGCCUGCAGACAGGGAAGUGGGAGAGGGUGCAGCUGACAGUCAGGGGCCCAGCUAUAAAGUGGAUGGGCAUGUUGCUUUCCAAAGAGCAUUUCCAGGGUCCCUCCCUGCAAUGAGCCUCUGCGGACACCAAAAUAAUGGAGGGUGUAGAACACAGAAGCAAGCUGCCUGGUGAAGGGAAGCAGGAGUCGCCAUGUGUGGGAGGGACAGAAGCCUACUGGAGAGAGGACAUGGUGAGUGAACCGAGUAGCCCAGGGGACAGCCCCAGGUCAGCUUGGAUGAUAGAGAGACCUGCAGCACAAAGCCAGGAAGUGGCUGGCAUCUUCUGCCUACAUGGGUGCUGGGAGAGCACAGCAGAGUCAGCUUCCUGACGAGGGUUCCGAGUAGGGCAUCUUGAUACUCCCUGCUGGGGUGAGAGGGAAAGGUCAGAUGGGAGUGGAGGGCAUGGGGGAAAGGAUGAGUGAGGUGCCUGGGGCCUGAAGUCAAAGGCUGAGCAAGAACUGAGCUCUGGCAACCUAGCUGGGGCGCCAUACGGGGCAUAGGAAGCUUUGGUGUCCCAUGGAGGAUGGUUGAAAGGGAAUGUGGGUCCCUCAAACCUAGCCAUGGGACUCUUGGUAGUGAGCUUACCCAGUGACUUUCCUUAGUACCUUGGGAAGAAGGCAGAUUAGGCUAGAACUGAUUACCAGCUCCCUCGAAAGAAACCAAAGGUGAGCGGACAUUUUCCCACCAUCCCAACGGACACCCUCUCAACUCAACAGAGGAUCCUUUACAGGGACCCAUAACCAAUACUUCCCUAAAGCCUCAGUAACCAAUAGCUUUAUUAUUUUUAAAUGUGUGUGCAUGCACACAUGCAGAUGGUUGUGAGCCGCCUCAUGUGGGUGCUGGAAAUGGAACUUACGUCUUCUGGAAGAGCAGCAAAUUCGCUUAAACCCCCGUCAUCUCUCUGGUUCCACUGAUAGCAUUGUUGACAUGGGUGGGCCCAAUCAUGCCCUUUCACCCUGUUUCUCUUUCUGUUCUGGACAUCAGGAAGCUCGUGUCAGUGUCAAAUUCCUCUUCCUCCCAUCUUGGACAUUUGUACAGGAAAUGAUCUUUGCAGUCUUGAAUACUUGCCCCACCCCCACAUUUCUUGCACUUGAACUCAGACAUGCUAAGCAAGUGCUCUGCCAUUGAGGUUCAUGUCCAACCUCUUGUCUAUGGUCAUUCUGAUCAUAAGCUACCUCUAAUACUUCGUGGAAUAAGACAGAACAGCCUUAUUUUUGCUUGUUUGUUUGUUUUUGAGACACAGGCUUACUAUGUAGAUCAGACUGGCCUCACAGAGGUCUAUCUGCUUCUGCCUCCUGAGUACUAGAUUAAAAGCAUGAGCCACAUACCCUGCUAGAUACAUUAUUUCCUUAAAAGUCAUAUGUAUUAA